rnacentral:rRNA from 1 species
GAUGAACGCUAGCUACAGGCUUAACACAUGCAAGUCGAGGGGUAACGAGAGGAAAGCUUGCUUUCCUUGUCGACGACCGGCGCACGGGUGAGUAACGCGUAUCCAACCUGCCCCCAACUAAGGAAUAACCUUGCGAAAGUAUGACUAAUACCUUAUAAUUUCCUCAGAUGUCAUCUGACGAGGAAUAAAGAUUUAUCGGUUGUGGAUGGGGAUGCGUCUGAUUAGCUUGUUGGCGGGGUAACGGCCCACAAAGGCAACGAUCAGUAGGGGUUCUGAGAGGAAGGUCCCCCACAUUGGAACAGAGACACGGUCCAAACUCCUACGGGAGGCAGCAGUGAGGAAUAUUGGUCAAUGGGCGAAAGCCUGAACCAGCCAAGUAGCGUGCAGGAUGACGGCCCUAUGGGUUGUAAACUGCUUUUAUACAGGAAUAAAGUUAGCCACGUGUGGUUAUUUGUAGGUACUGUAUGAAUAAGGACCGGCUAAUUCCGUGCCAGCCGCCGCCGCAG